GUUAAAAAAGCUCGUAGUUGAACCUUGGUCCUGGCUGGCUGGUCCGUCUCACCGCGUGCACUGGUCCGGCCGGGCCUUUCCCUCUGGGGAGCCGCAUGCCCUUUACUGGGUGUGUCGGGGAACCAGGACGUUUACUCUGAACAAAUUAGAUCGCUUCAAGAAGGCCUAUGCUCGAAUAGUCUAGCAUGGAAUAAUGGAAUAGGAUGUGUGGUUCUAUUUUGUUGGUUUCUAGGACCGCCGUAAUGAUUAAUAGGGACAGUCGGGGGCAUCAGUAUUCAAUUGUCAGAGGUGAAAUUCUUGGAUUUAUUGAAGACUAACUACUGCGAAAGCAUUUGCCAAGGAUGUUUUCAUUAAUCAGGAACGAAAGUCAGGGGAUCGAAGACGAUCAGAUACCGUCGUAGUCUUGACCAUAAACUAUGCCGAUUAGGGAUCGGACGGUGUUAUUUUUUGACCCGUUCGGCACCUUACGAAAAAUCAAAAUGUUUGGGCUCCUGGGGGAGUAUGGUCGCAAGACUGAAACUUAAAGAAAUUGACGGAAGGGCACCACCAGGGUUGGAGCCUGCGGCUUAAUUGACUCAACAU
rnacentral:rRNA from 1 species